AUUGAACGCUGGCGGCAUGCCUUACACAUGCAAGUCGAACGGUAACGCGGGGCAACCUGGCGACGAGUGGCGAACGGGUGAGUAAUGCAUCGGAACGUGCCCAGUAGUGGGGGAUAGCCCGGCGAAAGCCGGAUUAAUACCGCAUACGACCUAAGGGUGAAAGGGGGGGAUCGCAAGACCUCUCGCUAUUGGAGCGGCCGAUGUCAGAUUAGGUAGUUGGUGGGGUAAAGGCCUACCAAGCCGACAAUCUGUAGCUGGUCUGAGAGGACGACCAGCCACACUGGGACUGAGACACGGCCCAGACUCCUACGGGAGGCAGCAGUGGGGAAUUUUGGACAAUGGGCGCAAGCCUGAUCCAGCCAUGCCGCGUGCGGGAAGAAGGCCUUCGGGUUGUAAACCGCUUUUGUCAGGGAAGAAAUCUUCUGAGUUAAUACCUCGGGAGGAUGACGGUACCUGAAGAAUAAGCACCGGCUAACUACGUGCCAGCCGCCGCCGUAAAAC
rnacentral:rRNA from 1 species